UGAGAAUUCACAGGCCACUGGCAGGAUGGGAGCCUUCUAGCCAGCCUCCGGAUUGCAGAAAGUAUAAAAAUACAGCUUCAAGACACGUGCCCUAGACUCUGCUCUCAGACUGCCAACCAUAAGCUCCCACUGGUUCCUUGGACUUUGCACAGGUUCUCUUAUUCAACGCUUGCAAUAACUAUAUGAACAGGAAACAGCGAAGGAGCUGAGCUCUGUGACCAGUUUCGAUACCAGCUGAAACCGAAACAUGAGCAGAUACGCAAGAGCAAAGAAUCAGAAGAUGCCAGAAGUGAGGUGAGGAAACAGUUCGGGAGUGAACUGACUGGCCAGUGUUCUGGGGCUAGUAAUGGAUGAGCUGAUCGAGAUGGGAAACUCAUUCUUCUGACUCCAAGCUUACAGUGUGUGGGCUUGAGCUCCGAGCCCACAGGAAGCGCCGGCUCCCACUAAGCCGCCCGUUAGGCCAUGAGUGAGUAUUUGGAGUAGGAGUAUGCACGCA